rnacentral:tRNA from 1 species
GGCGGGAUAGCUCAGGUGGUUAGAGCGGCGGUCUCAUAAUCCGCAGGUCUGGGGUUCGAGUCCCCACCCCGGUA